rnacentral:lncRNA from 1 species
CACAGACAUUCAACCCUCUAUCCAUCGUCUACCUGACAAACCAACACCUCACUGACCACACAGACAUUCAACCCUCUAUCGUCUGUCUGACAAACCAACACUAUCUAUCGUCUGUCUGACAAACCAACACCUCACUGACCACACAGACAUUCAACCCUCUAUCGUCUGUCUGACAACCAACACCUCACUGACCAACACAACAUUCAACCCUCUAUCGUCUGCCUGACAACCCAACACCUCAUGACCACACAACAUUCAACUCUAUUAUCUACGUCUGCCUGACAAAACCCACACCUCACUGACCACACAGACAUUCAACCCUCUAUAAUCUGUCUGACAAACCAACCAUUAUUUUACAGCCAUCUAUCCUCUUCUAAA